GGCAAGGUGGCCGAGUGGUUAAGGCGCUGUGUUCAGGUCGCAGUUCGAAAGAGCAUGGGUUCGAAUCCCAUCCUUGUCA
rnacentral:tRNA from 1 species